rnacentral:rRNA from 1 species
UACGUAGGGGGCGAGCGUUGUCCGGAAUUACUGGGCGUAAAGGGUGCGUAGGUGGUUUCUUAAGUCAGAGGUGAAAGGCUACGGCUCAACCGUAGUAAGCCUUUGAAACUGGGAAACUUGAGUGCAGGAGAGGAGAGUGGAAUUCCUAGUGUAGCGGUGAAAUGCGUAGAUAUUAGGAGGAACACCAGUUGCGAAGGCGGCUCUCUGGACUGUAACUGACACUGAGGCACGAAAGCGUGGGGAGCAAACAGGAUUAGAUACCCGGGUAGUCCCUGAGCGGGCU